rnacentral:lncRNA from 1 species
ACUACUUUCCCAUUGUGAAUUAGCCCCUUCUAGGCAUACUCACAAUGUAUAUGAACGUUCCUGUGUAGUAGGAUUUUGUGUAGAUGAUCGAUCGACCGAGAGCUUUGUGUUUGUGUUUGUGUCAUUGUAGCGGAAGCGAUAUGUGUGUUCGGUAGUUUGUUUAUCUAUAUAUUGUGUGUUCGGUUUGUGAGAGGUGUUGUAAGCGCUAAAUCUGUAUGUUAGCAGUACUGUGCUCUGUGUCCAGGUUUAACACUUUUUGAGGUACUUGACUAGAUGAAUAUUGCAGUUUUAUAAACAGAAUUGUUGUUUUGCAGUUUAAUUUUUUUGCCUUCGUUUGAAUUUUUGCCCGAUCGUGCGCUAUGACUAGUGCUGGAAACUUCGUCCAGAGGCUUUGUCUUGAAUUUGGGCUGGUCUAUUUGUUUUGAAUUCAUGGUUGAUAUUAAUUGUAAUUUUUUGAUUUCAUUGUGCUUUCUCCAUUGUGUGCUUGGUUUGUUAGGGGUGCUGUAAGCGCUAUAUGUAUGGCAGCAGUACUUUGUUUCGUGUCCAUAUUUCUAUAGAUGAGGUACUUGACUAGAUAAAUAUUGGAGUUUUAUAAACAGAAAUGAUGUUUUACAGUCGAUUAUUUUUUCAUAUUCAUUCAAAUUUUUGCUCGAUCGUUCCACCAUUCAUGCCGGAAACUUCGGCAAGAGCCUUUUUCUCCUUGAGUCUUGCAGGUAUUAUAUUGCUGGGG